rnacentral:lncRNA from 1 species
AUUGCUGGUAUCUCUUUGAAGSAGGUGGUUUGCCUCCGCAGCCUCGCUUAGCGUGGCAGAGCACCCGCCAGCCCUGCUUCCCUGCGCCCUCCUUGCUGCUGGCCUGCUCCACGCUUGCUCUGGGCUGUGCUUUCCCAGCCUGAGCUCUCCUGUGCUUUCUUAUCCACAGCCUCCUGCGCCCGAGAGCCAUGAGCUGUUCUCCAUCUCCGGAGAGCCAGCGGAGCAGCCCCCCUUCCUCGGCCUCUCGGCUCUGCUAGACGCCGUUGCUCCGAGGAGAAAGUCGCCCAUCGCUGGAGGRCAGCGCUGGCUGCGCCCGGGGUCUCGCCUCCCUCCCAAGGUUUCUUGCCUAGCCAGCAGGUCCUUUCCCUUGCAAGAUUUCGUCUCGGGRAAGCGUGUCCAGGGUUAACGGAGCUGCACCACGUUGGGUCCCAUGAGACAGGCGAGACAGCCCUGUCCUUCCUGCCUGGGCCCGGGGACACAGCACCAUCCUCUUCCUCCUCUGCGUGGGCAGCCCCUCUGCUUUCUGAAACGAAGCYGUGAAGGUCUGCUGCAACGGUAGGUCCUCGGACUUUUCCCUUCUUGCCAGCCGUGUCUC